CGAUUAGAGUUUGAUCAUGGCUCAGAACGAACGCUGGCGGCAGGCCUAACACAUGCAAGUCGGACGGACCCUUCGGGGUUAGUGGCGGACGGGUGAGUAACGCGUGGGAACGUGCCCUUUGGUUCGGAAUAGCCCUGGGAAACCGGGAGUAAUACCGGAUGUGCUCGGGAGAGGAAAGAUUUAUCGCCAAGGGAUCGGCCCGCGUUGGAUUAGGUAGUUGGUGGGGUAAUGGCCUACCAAGCCGACGAUCCAUAGCUGGUUUGAGAGGAUGAUCAGCCACACUGGGACUGAGACACGGCCCAGACUCCUACGGGAGACAGCAGUGGGGAAUCUUAGACAAUGGGGGAAACCCUGAUCUAGCCAUGCCGCGUGAGCGAUGAAGGCCUUAGGGUUGUAAAGCUCUUUCAGUGGGGAAGAUAAUGACGGUACCCACAGAAGAAGCCCCGGCUAACUCCGUGCCAGCAGCCGCGGUAAUACGGAGGGGGCUAGCGUUGUUCGGAAUUACUGGGCGUAAAGCGCACGUAGGCGGACGGACAAGUCAGAGGUGAAAUCCCGGGGCUCAACCCUGGAACUGCCUUUGAAACUGUCUGUCUUGAGGUCGGGAGAGGUGAGUGGAAUUCCGAGUGUAGAGGUGAAA
rnacentral:rRNA from 1 species